CUUGUAAUGGAUGUUGAGAUCAACUGUGUGAUUUCUAUUCAUUGUCCUGUUCUUCUUGUUUUUUGUUUUUGAUAUCAUUCCAAUUAUUCAAUUACUCCAAUGGCUGAUAAUAGGAAAUAUGUUCCAAAAGACUCCAACGUUCUGCAAUUAGCCGUCGACCUGGUCUUUCCGUGAGGCAGAGCCGUGGACGUUGUCUAGCUUAUCCAGCACCAACACAGCCAUUGACCCUCAACAGCAUCCAUCAGCAUCCAUCCGUUGUCAGAUACUUUAAGUCGCUUUCCGAAGAUGAUCAGUGGACCACUAACGUUGUGCACUCCGAACCGGAUUGUGCCAGGGAUGUCGAAGUGCUCGUAGUUCAUCGGCAGGCGUCGUAUCAGGACAUUGUUCGUUCCAGGGAUAAAACAUAUCGUAAGUUGUUGGAUCUUUUCGAUUGGGACGCUAUGAAGGUUCCCAUUGAGGAACAGCCAUCGCAAGAGGCUCGAAUGGCGGAAGAAUCUUCGUCGGACGAAGAGACCGACAGUGCAGAUGAGAUAGCGCAGCAUCAGGAAACUCGGGUCAUUGCCUAUCCUAGAACUACAGUUAUUCGUUUUGAAGAGCAUCCAUCGGACCGUUUGAAUGCAUUGGAGCCUGUGAUGGCUAAACCACCAUUGAAGACAGGAAGAGGUAGAGAUGCGACGGGGAGAGGGUCUGCAAGAGGACAUUCGUCCCGAUCUGGGGCUAAGGGUGAAGGAAGAUUUAAGAAUCAAUAGUAGUUGAAACAUUGGGAUCUUUCGGUUAACUCACCCUGCAAAUGUUUCACAUUAAUUGAAUCUUUUAAUUAUAGCGAUAAUUUUUAUAAUCAUGCGUAGGAAAAUGGAAGUUAAGAUUUGGUUGAAUGGAGUAAAUCUAUUCUUCAAUUGAAAAAAGGCAGAUCAUUAAACAUGCAAGAAGAAAAUGUGAGAUUAUGAAGCACGAAGUAGUAUUAAAAUAAAAAAGUAAGAAGACACAAUGGACAAAACUAGGCUAAGGGACAAACAAUAAGUAACAAUGAAGUAAUAAAACUGACAAUGAAAAAAAAACAGGCAGUAAGAUAGAAAACAGAACCUCAAGUCGAAUCAAACAAUAACAUAGUGAAUAAGAUUAAUUAUGUAAAUCAGAUAAUACUACGCUAUGCACUUGACAUAUCUCACA